AAUCAACGCUGGCGGCGUGCCUCAGACAUGCAAGUCGAACGCGAAAUUUCCCUUCGGGGAGAAAGUAGAGUGGCGCACGGGUGAGUAACACGUAGGUAAUUUGCCUUUGGGUGGGAAUAACUCAGGGAAACUUGAGCUAAUACCGCAUAAUGCAGCGGCUCGACAUCGAGACAGUUGUUAAAGCGGGGGAUUGGAGCAAUCCGACCCUCGCGCCUAAAGAGAAGCCUGCGGCAGAUUAGCUAGUUGGUAAGGUAAUGGCUUACCAAGGCGACGAUCUGUAACCGGCCUGAGAGGGCGGUCGGUCACACUGACACUGACAUACGGGUCA
rnacentral:rRNA from 1 species